rnacentral:rRNA from 1 species
UACGUAGGUGGCAAGCGUUGUCCGGAUUUACUGGGCGUAAAGGGCGCGUAGGCGGCCUUGUAAGUCCUGUGUGAAAUCCCCCGGCUCAACUGGGGAACUGCACAGGAGACUGCUUGGCUUGAGUUCGGGAGAGGGAAGCGGAAUUCCGGGUGUAGCGGUGAAAUGCGUAGAUAUCCGGAGGAACACCGGUGGCGAAGGCGGCUUCCUGGACCGACACUGACGCUGAGGCGCGAAAGCUAGGGGAGCAAACGGG